rnacentral:rRNA from 1 species
AACAAGGUUUCCGUAGGUGAACCUGCGGAAGGAUCAUUACCGAGUUCUCGGGCUUCGGCUCGACUCUCCCACCCUUUGUGAACGUACCUCUGUUGCUUUGGCGGCCCCGGCCGCCAGAGGACCUUCAAACUCCAGUCAGUAAACGCAGACGUCUGAAAAAACAAGUUAAUAAACUAAAACUUUCAACAACGGAUCUCUUGGUUCUGGCAUCGAUGAAGAACGCAGCGAAAUGCGAUAAGUAAUGUGAAUUGCAGAAUUCAGUGAAUCAUCGAAUCUUUGAACGCACAUUGCGCCCCUUGGUAUUCCGGGGGGCAUGCCUGUUCGAGCGUCAUUACAACCCUCAAGCUCUGCUUGGUAUUGGGCACCGUCCUCACUGCGGACGCGCCUCGAAGACCUCGGCGGUGGCUGUUCGGCCCUCAAGCGUAGUAGAAUACACCUCGCUUUGGAGCGGUCGGCGUCGCCCGCCGGACGAACCUUCUGAACUUUUCUCAAGGUUGACCUCGGAUCAGGUAGGGAUACCCGCUGAACUUAAGCAUAUCAAUAAGCGGAGGA